rnacentral:rRNA from 1 species
GUUGAACGCUGGCGGCAGGCUUAACACAUGCAAGUCGAGCGGGGGAAGGUAGCUUGCUACUGGACCUAGCGGCGGACGGGUGAGUAAUGCUUAGGAAUCUGCCUAUUAGUGGGGGACAACAUCUCGAAAGGGAUGCUAAUACCGCAUACGUCCUACGGGAGAAAGCAGGGGAUCUUCGGACCUUGCGCUAAUAGAUGAGCCUAAGUCGGAUUAGCUAGUUGGUGGGGUAAAGGCCUACCAAGGCGACGAUCUGUAGCGGGUCUGAGAGGAUGAUCCGCCACACUGGGACUGAGACACGGCCCAGACUCCUACGGGGGGCAGCAGUGGGGAAUAUUGGACAAUGGGGGGAACCCUGAUCCAGCCAUGCCGCGUGUGUGAAGAAGGCCUUAUGGUUGUAAAGCACUUUAAGCGAGGAGGAGGCUACUUUAGUUAAUACCUAGAGAUAGUGGACGUUACUCGCAGAAUAAGCACCGGCUAACUCUGUGCCAGCCGCCGCCGUAAAAC